ACAGAGUUUUGCUCCUGUUGCCCAGGCUGGAGUACAAUGGUGCGAUCUUGGCUCACCACAACUUCCGCCUCCUGGGUUCAAGUGAUUCUCCUACAAAUGUAUCGCAAAGAACUCCCGCACCGUUCCCUGAAGGAGACAAAGUUUCUCCAGAGGCCAGCUCAUUCCAGAGAACUGAAGCUCUUUGAAAUUCAGCUUCUAUGAAGACUCUGCAAGCCCCAAAGUGUUUAACCAAGACCUUUACCUGGGAAAGAGAAUCCGGACUCAGCCCUCUGCAGGCUGUUGAAGCUCAAGCCACCACCAUGCCAACUUCCACAAUGAUUCCACCAACACAAGUCAAGCACUGCCACCACCAUGAGAAACACAAUCCAGCAACUGUAACAAAACCCACAACAGCCAACACAUCCCCCACAGCUGCAAAUACAACCCUAACCCUACAACCACAGCAGUGAUCACAACUCCAGUGAUUAUCACAACAAACCCAAUAACCACACCAACUCCAACAACCACAGCUACAGCUCCCAAAAUAACCACAGACCACAGCAACCUGACGCAAUUUUAACAACAGCCACAAUCAUAACCACAACAGCUCCAAUAACCACUGCAACAACCACAGUAGCAGGCAUUUGUUGAUCACCUCUUAUAAGCCAGGUCCUCCACCAAGUGCUUGUCAUAUAUUAUCUCACAUAGCCUUCCAGCUGCCCCAGGAAGUAGACAGAUAUACAUGCAUGCUUUAUUUAUUUUUAUUUUUAUUUUUAAAAGAUAGACUUCUAUUUUUCAGAAAAGUUUUAGAUUUACAGAAAAUUGAGGAGACAGUAGAUAGAGUUCCUAUAGGCCCCCUCCCUCCCACUCUCAGUUUUCCCUAUUAUUAACAUCUUGCAUUAGUGGGGUACAUUUGCUAAGAUUGAUGAAACCAUCUCGAUGCAUUAUUAUUAACUAAAAUCCAUAGUUUAUGCGAGGGUACAGAUUCCGGGGGCUUUGAUGAAUGCUUAAUGGCAUGUAUCUGCAUCAGAGUGGCAUACAGAAUAGUUCCAUUGCCCUGAAAUUCCUGCUUUCCACCUAUUCAUCCUUCCUCCCUUCUGUCACCCCCAAACUCCUGACAACCACUAGCCUUGACAAUAUUUUUAUAGUUUUGUCAUAUAGUUGGAAUCACACAGUAUGUAGCCUUUUCACACUGGCUUAUUCACAAUGUAAUAUGCAUUUAAGAUCCCUCCAUGUCUUUUCUUGGCUUGACAGCUCAUUUUUUUUAUUGCUGAAUAAUAUUCCCUUGUACAGAUGUACCACAGUUUAUUCAUUCACCUUUUGAAGUCUAUCUUGAUUGCCUCUAGUUUUGGGAAAUUAUGAAUAAAGCUGCUAUAAACAUUUAUGUGCAGGGUUUUGCAUGGACAUUUUUUUACCUUAUUUGGGUAAUUACCUAGGAAUACAAUUGCUGGAUCAUGUGUUUCAGCUAAACAUAAACAAAGACGAUGUUUAGUUUUGCAAGAGAGACAACAAAUGAAACUGUCUUCCAACGUGACUGUACCAUUUUGCAUUUCCACCAGAAAUGAAUGAGAGUUCCUGUUGCUCUGUUUUCUUGACAGUGUUUGGUUAUGUCAAUGUUCCAGAUUUUGGCCAUUCUAAUAGUAGUGUCAUUUCCUUGUUGUUUUAAUUUUCAGUUUCCUGAUGACAUAUGC
rnacentral:lncRNA from 1 species